UGAAGCCAAGCUUGCUUGGUGGAUCAGUGGCGAACGGGUGAGUAACACGUGAGCAACCUGCCCUGGACUCUGGGAUAAGCGCUGGAAACGGUGUCUAAUACUGGAUAUGAGCUCUCAUCGCAUGGUGGGGGUUGGAAAGAUUUUUCGGUCUGGGAUGGGCUCGCGGCCUAUCAGCUUGUUGGUGAGGUAAUGGCUCACCAAGGCGUCGACGGGUAGCCGGCCUGAGAGGGUGACCGGCCACACUGGGACUGAGACACGGCCCAGACUCCUACGGGAGGCAGCAGUGGGGAAUAUUGCACAAUGGGCGGAAGCCUGAUGCAGCAACGCCGCGUGAGGGAUGACGGCCUUCGGGUUGUAAACCUCUUUUAGCAGGGAAGAAGCGAGAGUGACGGUACCUGCAGAAAAAGCGCCGGCUAACUACGUGCCAGCAGCCGCGGUAAUACGUAGGGCGCAAGCGUUAUCCGGAAUUAUUGGGCGUAAAGAGCUCGUAGGCGGUUUGUCGCGUCUGCUGUGAAAUCCCGAGGCUCAACCUCGGGCCUGCAGUGGGUACGGGCAGACUAGAGUGCGGUAGGGGAGAUUGGAAUUCCUGGUGUAGCGGUGGAAUGCGCAGAUAUCAGGAGGAACACCGAUGGCGAAGGCAGAUCUCUGGGCCGUAACUGACGCUGAGGAGCGAAAGGGUGGGGAGCAAACAGGCUUAGAUACCCUGGUAGUCCACCCCGUAAACGUUGGGAACUAGUUGUGGGGACCAU
rnacentral:rRNA from 1 species